rnacentral:snRNA from 1 species
GGGGUCACUUCAGUAGCACAUACACUAAAACUGGAAUGACACAGAGAAGAUUAGCACACUCUGUUAAAGGACGACAUGCAAACAAAGAAACAUUCCAAUAUUAU